rnacentral:lncRNA from 1 species
CUUGUGGUCCAACCAUAAAUAUUUCUGGAUUGGUUUGUAGGUUCUGAACUUCUCUAAGUUUAAUAUUCUUCCCACUACCUCUUUCUUGAAUGAAUUCAUUUUCUAAGAAAAUGGUAUGCCUACUAAGAAAUAUCUUUUAUUCAAUAAGAUGGUAGAAGUAGUAUCCUUUUAUUUCUUUAAGAUACCCUACAAAUCUAUACUUGUCUGAUCUAGCAUUUAGCUUAUAUCCAAAGAUAUUUUUGACAAAAGUAGGACAGCCCC